UUGACAUACUAUGCAAAUCUAAGAGAUUAGACGUUCCCUUCGGGGACAUGGAUACAGGUGGUGCAUGGUUGUCGUCAGCUCGUGUCGUGAGAUGUUGGGUUAAGUCCCGCAACGAGCGCAACCCUUAUUAUCAGUUGCCAGCAUUAAGUUGGGCACUCUGGUGAGACUGCCGGUGACAAACCGGAGGAAGGUGGGGAUGACGUCAAAUCAUCAUGCCCCUUAUGACCUGGGCUACACACGUGCUACAAUGGAUGGUACAACGAGUUGCGAACUCGCGAGAGUAAGCUAAUCUCUUAAAGCCAUUCUCAGUUCGGAUUGUAGGCUGCAACUCGCCUACAUGAAGUCGGAAUCGCUAGUAAUCGCGGAUCAGCAUGCCGCGGUGAAUACGUUCCCGGGCCUUGUACACACCGCCCGUCACACCAUGAGAGUUUGUAACACCCAAAGUCGGUGGGGU
rnacentral:rRNA from 2 species